CAACAGUUGAAGAUCCUGGCUUUAGAAAUGUCUUAGACUUCGUAACAUAUCUGACCUCAGGGAUAACUAGCUCGUGGCGGCUAAGCGUUCAUAGAAACAUCUCUUCGAUCAUUCAAUGCCAGAUCUUCCUAUCAUUGUGAAGCAGAAUACAGCAAGUAUUGGAUUGUUCACCCACUAACAGGGAAUAUGAGCUGGGCUUAGACCACUGUGAGACAGGUUAGUUUUACCCUGUUG
rfam:Apaloderma vittatum contig5397, whole genome shotgun sequence.